rnacentral:rRNA from 1 species
GUCUACGGCCAUACCACGUUGAAAGCACCGGUUCUCGUCCGAUCACCGAAGUUAAGCAACGUCGGGCCCGGUUAGAACUUGGAUGGGUGACCGCCUGGGAACACCGAGUGCUGUAGAAA